AUGGAAGUGAGAAAACCACAUCCCAAGAUAAGUGAGGUGGUGUGGCCAGAGCACACAGAGAAAAAAUCAAACAGCAGAGAGAUGUUUCUGUCAACCCAGGCUCUGCGUCACCUCAUGCCCAGCCCCUCCCCAAUGGACAUGGUAGAAGAAACUGAGCAAACAGCACACACAGAUGAACCAGAAGAAGGACGGCCUAUUCAAAAUCAACCUGAGUCACCAGACCACAUUUCUUCUUCGGAGGAUCUGAGCCCUGAGUCUGUCUCCUUCUUCACCUCAGCCUCCUCUUUGCCUCUGUUGAGACGUGAACGCCCUUAUUUGUAUGAAAGUACCUUGACUCUGCAGAGGAUCUCUUAUCUACUCACUGAUGGAGAGGACCAAAGCAGGGAAGAGGAAGACGAAGAGGAAGACAGCAGAACCCCUUCAUCAGUUGACCACUUCCCAGAUUGCCCUGAGCUGCCAGCGACACUAGAUGGCGCCACAGAACCCAUUUUCCUCAGCAACCUGAACAAAGACACUUUGGUAGAGCUGAUGCUGUCUGCAGAGGAUGGAGAAGAAGAUCUUAACACAGAUGUUUUCUCAAGUGAGGACUUUCUCAGUGUUGAUCCAGUUUCAGGAGCUACCAUGAACAAAACCCUUUCUGUAAAUAAGAGAAUGAAUCUUCCUCAGUUGCUCUACAGCAAUGACGACAGCCAAUCAGUGCUGUAUCUCUUUGAACCCCAGGUGGAGAGUCAAAGCUUCUUCUCACCUGACACUGAUGUCACUGAUAUGUGGAGCUCUGCAGUGUCACUCGACCAGAAAGAAAAAUCUGAUUGCAUCCCUUAUGAGACUUUCAGUUUUAGUGAAGCAGUCACAUCUGACUGUUUCCUGGUGGAAGAACAUCAUCAGGAGCUGCUGACUGCCCCUAACCAGAACCUUCAGUCAGAGGAUCCUGUAGCCACUGACACAGCAGGGAUGGGUCAGCGGGACAUCUCAUUCCUCACCCCCGGGUGCAGCUCUAUCUGCCCUGAACAGCAGAUCUCUGGUCACUCUCUGACCCCCAUCCCAACCUGCAACAUUAAAACCACCUUUGCUCCUUUUGAAACCUCCAAUGAGAGCCCCCUCAAAACCCAAUUAAAGAAGGAUGAACCUUGUGUCCAGAGCACCACAGCCUGGCUGGAUCAUAGCAAAGGGGUCAACUGGUGUAAACAGGACCUGGAAACCCGUAGAGCUGCCAUUGGCCAUCUACCUACUACAGAACCCGGAGCAGCUAUCACACCAGAUUACAAGAAGCCUUCACUUGUACUGAGCCAACCAUAUUCCUACAGUCUGGUCAACUUUAUGGACUUCACUGCAAAGCAAAAAGGAGACAACAGAGGUGGCAAACAGGCAGACAAUGAGGAGCCCGCAGGUUGGAGUAGUUUGGGGAGGGGUUCACAAGGUGCCAUAAGAAGUGGGAGAGCACGAUUAAGGAAAGGAAAACGAGUGAAGAGAGCCUGAGGAUUUAGUACAUCUAUGAAGCACAGGAAUGCGAGUGGAGGACUGAACUAAAUGAGAAAUAUAUUCUCUAAAUCUUUGAACAUGAUGUAUCUUUCUUUUGAUGCAGAAAUACAUUUUGAAUCCAAAUCUGUAUAUUUGAUCUAUUAACUCAAGGCAAUACCAUAAGGAUGAACUCACACCUGAUUAUACAGUAGGCUUGAUGAUCGCCACAUAGACUUUUCACCUUGACAUGAUCUCCCCCUUCUCAUCAAUCAACUGGUCAGAUUGUUCUGAUGCUUGCCACUGCUGCUGCUAUCAGCAGCCUUUCCCACCCAGUGAUAUUGUCCUGCCACACCCUUUUUCUUCCACUGUAAUACCACGUGUCAGAAACACUCACUCAAUAAUGAAUUUCUCAGGAAUUAUUGAUAGACAUAAAUUAUUGAAUAUUUUGCUAAUUAAAACUCCAGUUAAAAAAAAAAUGUAUUG
rnacentral:lncRNA from 15 species